ACUCCUACGGGAGGCAGCAGUGGGGAAUAUUGCACAAUGGGCGCAAGCCUGAUGCAGCCAUGCCGCGUGUGUGAAGAAGGCCUUCGGGUUGUAAAGCACUUUCAGUCGUGAGGAAGGUAGUUUUUUGUAGUUAAUAGCUGCAUUAUUUGACGUUAGCGACAGAAGAAGCACCGGCUAACUCCGUGCCAGCAGCCGCGGUAAUACGGAGGGUGCGAGCGUUAUCCGGAUUUAUUGGGUUUAAAGGGUCCGUAGGCGGGUUAAUAAGUCAGUGGUGAAAUCCCAUCGCUUAACGAUGGAACUGCCAUUGAUACUGUUAGUCUUGAAUGAGGGUGCAGUGGUUGGAAUGUGUAGUGUAGCGGUGAAAUGCAUAGAUAUUACACAGAACACCGAUUGCGAAGGCAGAUCACUAACCCUAAAUUGACGCUGAGGGACGAAGCGUGGGGAGCGAACAGGAUUAGAUACCCUGUAGACUGUC
rnacentral:rRNA from 1 species